rnacentral:misc_RNA from 1 species
AAAGUCGUAACAAGGUUUCCGUAGGUGAACCUGCGGAAGGAUCAUUAAAGUAUAUUGAAUUCUAAUUCAUGUCUACCCACUCUGUGUACCUUCUUACUGUUGCUUCCAUGGGACUUGGCUACGCCACGUCGGCCUCUGGGCUGGUGAGCUCCCGUGGGAGGAAAUCAAAACUACCCUUUGCACAUGAAGUCUGUCUGAAGUGUUUGUUAUGAACGUUAAAACUUUCAACAACGGAUCUCUUGGUUCUC